AAGACUAUGUGUGACUGGCGAAACGCGGAUAACCGUGAGGGAGCACAUAGUGGUCGUAGCCGUUCGCCUGGGCAGAGGUA
rnacentral:ncRNA from 2 species